rnacentral:rRNA from 1 species
AGCGAACGCUGGCGGCAGGCCUAACACAUGCAAGUCGGACGAAGUCUUCGGACUUAGUGGCGGACGGGUGAGUAACACGUGGGAACGUGCCUUUAGGUUCGGAAUAACUCAGGGAAACUUGUGCUAAUACCGAAUGUGCCCUUCGGGGGAAAGAUUUAUCGCCUUUAGAGCGGCCCGCGUCGGAUUAGCUGGUUGGUGAGGUAAAGGCUCACCAAGGCGACGAUCAGUAGCUGGUCUGAGAGGAUGAUCAGCCACAUUGGGACUGAGACACGGCCCAAACUCCUACGGGAGGCAGCAGUGGGGAAUCUUGCGCAAUGGGCGAAAGCCUGACGCAGCCAUGCCGCGUGAAUGAUGAAGGUCUUAGGAUUGUAAAAUUCUUUCACCGGGGACGAUAAUGACGGUACCCGGAGAAGAAGCCCCGGCUAACUUCGUGCCAGCCGCCGCGGUAAAAC